AAGAACUGUAACCUCGGGGGAGCAACGUUGGCAGGAACUGAUUUGGAAGUUGUGACCUCCAGGAAGCCAAUUUGAGGGGCUCUGAUGUGAAAGGAGCCAUCUUUGAAGAGAUGCUGACCCCCCUGCACUCGUCCCAGAGCGUCAGAUAGGGAAGAGAUGAUGUCAAUGAGGAAGGAAUCCAAACAUGUGUUGUGACUUUCUUCACCUCCUCCCCUUCCUGAGUUAGAAGGAAUGGUUAUUAGACAACUUCCAUUUGCAGUAGUGCCUAAGUAGACUCUCUCUGAUCACUU